GAGCGGCGGACGGGUGAGUAACGCGUGGGAAUAUGCCCUUUGGUACGGAAUAGUCCUGGGAAACUGGGGGUAAUACCGUAUGCGCCCUUCGGGGGAAAGAUUUAUCGCCAAAGGAUUAGCCCGCGUUGGAUUAGGUAGUUGGUGGGGUAAUGGCCUACCAAGCCGACGAUCCAUAGCUGGUUUGAGAGGAUGAUCAGCCACACUGGGACUGAGACACGGCCCAGACUCCUACGGGAGGCAGCAGUGGGGAAUCUUAGACAAUGGGGGCAACCCUGAUCUAGCCAUGCCGCGUGAGUGAUGAAGGCCCUAGGGUUGUAAAGCUCUUUCAGCUGGGAAGAUAAUGACGGUACCAGCAGAAGAAGCCCCGGCUAACUCCGUGCCAGCAGCCGCGGUAAUACGGAGGGGGCUAGCGUUGUUCGGAAUUACUGGGCGUAAAGCGCACGUAGGCGGACNGNAAAGUUGGGGGUGAAAUCCCGGGGCUCANCCCGGAACUGCNUUNAAACUAUCGGUCUGGAGUUCGAGAGAGGUGAGUGNANUCCGAGUGUAGAGGUGAAAUUCGUAGAUAUUCGGAGGAACACCAGUGGCGAAGGCGGCUCACUGGCUCGAUACUGACGCUGAGGUGCNAAAGCGUGGGGNGCAAACAGGAUNGAUACCCNGGNAGUNCACGCCGUAAACGAUGAAUGCCAGUCGUCGGCCAGCAUGCUGUUCGGNGACCCACCUAANGNAUUAAGCAUUCCGCNUG
rnacentral:rRNA from 1 species